UACGGGAGGCAGCAGUGGGGAAUAUUGCACAAUGGGCGAAAGCCUGAUGCAGCUAUGCCGCGUGUAUGAAGAAGGCCUUAGGGUUGUAAAGUACUUUCAUCGGGGAGGAAAAACAAAACUAAUAAUUUUAUUUCUUGACGUUACCCGAAAAAGAAGCACCGGCUAACUCCGUGCCAGCAGCCGCGGUAAUACGGAGGGUGCUAGCGUUAAUCAGAAUUACUGGGCGUAAAGAGCACGUAGGUGGUUUUUUAAGUCAGAUGUGAAAUCCCUGGGCUUAACCUGGAACUGCAUUUUGAAACUGAAAUACUAGAGUAUCGUAGAGGGAGGUAGAAUUCUAGGUGUAGCGGUGAAAUGCGUAGAUAUCUGGAGGAAUACCUGUGGCGAAAGCGGCCUCCUAAACGAAUACUGACACUGAGGUGCGAAAGCGUGGGGAGCGAAACAGGGAUUAGGAUACC
rnacentral:rRNA from 1 species